rnacentral:lncRNA from 1 species
UUUUUGGUAUUUUUAAUUAGUUCAAGCAAUAAUAGACUUUCCUUACUUAGUAGUUUUAUUAUCUCUGAUAUUAGCCAUUAGAUAUCACAUAGCUUUCUGAAAAGAGAAGGAGAUGCCUUGGUCAACUGAUCUGGUCACAGGUCCCUGGUUCCUCUCACAAUUACUGUGUGAGUUUGGGGAAAUGGUUCAUUUCCAAUCCAAAUCCAAAUGGAUCUGGAUUUCAUUACUUUAUUGAACGUAUUUAUUUGUCCCCAAUUUCAUAGUAGGAAAAAUUAGUUUCUUUGUGUAUUGGUUGUUGGAAGAAUUACUAACACUUUCAUCAAGAUAAAAAAAAAAACAGAAAAACAUCUCUGAAAAUUUUGAAGAUAGCAUCCCUAGAAACAUUAUUACAACUCACCACUGUCCAUUUAUUCAACAAAUAAUAUUUAGUCAAGACUGGAGCAAGACAUGUAUAUGUCAGAGAGGCAAACAAUCAUCUAUUCCUUGAAACAGCAUUUGUUUACAUGUAUGUUCAGCCUUGUUUUAGAAGAGAGCGGAGGAGCAGAACCACACUUGAUAAUAUUAGAUGUCUCUGAAGUGUUCUUUAACAUAGCAGGUGCAGCCCCAAAGGGGCGAGAUCUCCUUGGCAACAAAACAAAACAAAACACAGCUAACAAGAGUCACCUUUCUCUUUUUUAAAUUAUUUUGUAAAAAUUUUAAUUUGUUAUAUAUGACAGCAGAAUGUAUUACAAUUCAUAUUAUACAUAUAGAGCACAAUAUCUCUGGUUGUACACAAAGUAGAGUCACAUCUUCAUAUCUUCAUACAUGUACUUAGUGUAAUGAUGACCAUCACAUUUCACUGUCUUUCCUACCCCCAUCCUCCCUCCCAUCCCCCUCCUCUUUUCCCGUUUGCCCUAUCUAGAGUUCAUCUAAUCCUCCCAUCCCCCCUGCAGCAUAUUAUGGAUCAGCAUUCUUAAAUCAGAGAAAUCAUUCAUCAUUUGGUUUUUGGGGAUUGGCUAAUUUCACUUAGCAUUAUAUUCUCCAGCUCCAUCCACUUACCUGCAAAUGACAUGAUUUUAUUCUCUUUUAUUGAUGAAUAGUAUUCCAUUGUGUAUAUAUACCACAUUUUCUUUAUCCAUUCAUCUACUGAAGGGCAUCUAGGUUGCUUCCACAGUUUAGCUAUUGUGAAUUGUGUGGCUAUAAACAUCAAUGUGGCUGUGUUCCUGUAGUAUGUUGUUUUUAAGUCCUUUGGUAUAGACCGAGGAGUGGGAUAGCUGGGUCAAAUGGUGGUUCCAUUCCCAGUGUUCCAAGGAAUCUCCAUACUGCUUUCCAUAUUGGCUGCACCAAUUUGCAGUCCCAUCAGCAAUGUAAGGUUGUGCCUUUUCCCCCAUAUCUGUGCCAACACUUAUUGUUGUUUGUCUUCAUGAUAGCUGCCAUUCUGACUGGAGUGAGAUGAAAUCUUAGAGUAGUUUUGAUUUGCAUUUCUCUAAUUGCUAGUGAUGAUAUUGAAAUUAAAUUUACUGAAAUUAAAGAUGAGAUUUUAAAGGCAGGGUUUUGGAGACAUGAGAUGACUUAUUGAGGCUAUGUAGUAGACAAUUAUAUCAUUAUUUUAGAUUUCAUUGAUUAUUAUAAUUAUUAUUUUCUGAAAAGCAUUAAUUUCAAUAUGGCCAUUGAACCCAGUUUGUAACAUUUUUUCAUAUAUUUGUUGGUUGUUUGUAUAUCCGUUUCUGAGAAGUGUCUGUUCAGUUCCUUGGCGCAUUUAUUGAUUGGGUUAUUUGUUUUUUUGGUGUUAAGAUUUUUGAGUUCUUUAUAUAUUCUAGAGAUUAGUGCUCUAUCUGAUGUGCAUAUGUAAGAAUUUGUUCCCAAUUGGUAGGCUUUCCAUUCACCUCACUGAUGAUUUCUUUUGCUGAGAAGAAGCUUUUUAGUUUGAAUCCAUCCAUUUAUUGAUUCUUGAUAUUAAUUCUUGAGAUAUACAGGAGUCUUAUUAAGGAAGUUGGGGCCUAAUACAACAUGAUGGAGAGUUGGGUCUACUUUUUCUUCUAAUAGAUACAGUAUCUCUGGUUUAAUUCCUAGGUCCUUGAUCCACUUUGAUUUGAGUUUAGUGCAUAGUGAGAGAUAGGGGUUUAAUUUCAUUUUGUUGCAUGUGGAUUUCUAAUUUUCCCAGCACCACAAGUUGAAGAGGCUAUAUUUUCUCUAACGUACAUUUUUGGCACCUUUGUCAAAUAUAAGAUAACUGUAAUUAUGUGGAUUGGUCUCUUGUGUCCUCUAUUCUGUACUAUUGGUCUACAAGUGUAUUUUUAUGCCAAUACUAUGCUGUUUUUGUUACUAUUGCUCUGUAGUUUAGUUUUUUUAAAAUUUUUUUAGUUGUAGAUGGACACAAUACCUUUAUUUUAUUUAUUUAUUUUUAUGUGGUGCUGAGGAUUGAACCCGGUGUCUCACAUGUGCUAGACAAGCAUUCUUCCACUGAACCACAAUCCAGCCCAGACUUACCUUUCUUGAGGAGUUUAGCAAGCAUUUUGUUUCUGCAGCUGGCUCCUUCUCAAACAUUCCUUCUGUAACUGAUAGAUGUCAGAUUUUGGAGGGACACAAAAACAACUAAGCAUGAUUAGUCUUUCCCUGAAAGGACCCCCAUAUAGGAAGAUCAAUAUAAUUUAAACAAAUUAACUGAAUGUAAUCCAGUCGAUAAAGUGGUACAGUCUGUAAAACAAAGGCCAUGAUAGUAAAAAAAAA